GCAUGGUAAUGGAUUUAUGGCAUGCCCUCCUCUGUGAGCCUGUCAUAGUGUACCCGUGCCAGAGUAAACCCCAGCCCCAAGCCGUUGCCCACCCUCCUUACCUGUGGGCACUGAAGGGGGUUGCACAAUG
rnacentral:snoRNA from 1 species